UACGUAGGGUGCGAGCGUUAAUCGGAAUUACUGGGCGUAAAGCGUGCGCAGGCGGUUCGUUAAGUUCGAUGUGAAAGCCCCGGGCUCAACCUGGGAACUGCAUUGGAAACUGGCGAGCUUGAAUGCGGCAGAGGGGGGUGGAAUUCCGCGUGUAGCAGUGAAAUGCGUAGAGAUGCGGAGGAACACCGAUGGCGAAGGCAGCCCCCUGGGCCGACAUUGACGCUCAGGCACGAAAGCGUGGGGAGCAAACCGG
rnacentral:rRNA from 1 species